UUCAACAAUGGUAAAACACUAAUCCAGCAAGCCCCUCUAAGUUGUUAAAAUUUUGUAGACAAAUGCGCGUUUGGCAUGAGAGGUUGUACUGGAGAAUCUUCCUAUAAAAUUCCUCAAAUAUUCAAUCCUUAUCCUCUUCUCAAUUUCAAAAUUCAAAUUUGUACUGAAGUAGUACAAAUCAACCUCAUCAAUCUCCUCAAAUUUGUUUCCCCCUCAAAUUUCCCCCAAAAUCAAGAAUGUUCUUGAAUGGAACAGUCGAUGCAAUCCUAUUCGUCAAUGCUACGAACUAGGAUGGAACCCCUCUCAUCAUCCUCCAUCAUCGAGAUUCAUCUUUAGCCAUUUGUUUCAAAGUUUUCCCUAUUAAAAGUCCCAAAAUUUCCCCUGAAUUUUGGUUGUUCCCACAUUGGUGGGACUUCAUAGGUGUGACCCUCCAUUCCUUCUAUAAAAGUCUCACUGUAGAGAUGAAUUUGCAAGCCUUAGAAGGUUGGAAAAAAGCAUUUUGAGCAUAAUGACUUGAAAAUUAUUUUUGAGCAAGAGAAUUUUCAUUAGAAGUUCUGUUAGUUAAAGUUUAGUCAGGUCGAUUUUGAAUUCUCGAUAAUGGUCAAGAUUCUGAUGAUAGCCCAUAGUUCCGUUUUGCUCCCCCCAGAAAAGGUAAACACUUUCUAUUUUAGUUUGUUAUAGUCUUUCUUCUUCAAAUACUUGUUCGUAGUUUCAUAAUAAUGUUGUUGGGAUUGUUUAUUGCAGAAGCCUUGAAGGCUUAGGAUUUUUGUGUGGCAAUAAUUGUGUUUUGUCGUUUCUUAUGUUGGAUAAAUAUUAUGGCCGUGUUUAACUCACUGUUUUGGUUGUAUGUUUGAGAAUUUAUGGCUUUAGUUUGACUUUGCUUAUAAGAGAGUUGUUGUGCCUGUUAAUCGCAAAAUUAUCAUCAUAUGAUUAGUUUUAGUAUUAUCAUCAUUUCUUUCGAUUUCAAAUUCUCAUUUUAGCCUAUUAUGUUGCCUUUAGUUUUCUUUGAUUUAAAUGCUAUUUGAUUUACUAUUUCUAUAUCGAUUAAAUAUAUGUUGGCCUUAGAUUUAUCACUGAACACUCUAUCUAAUUAAAAGCCCCCCUUAGUCGUCGUCUCUUCGAUCCGAUUGUUUAAGUUAAGGUUACAUUCAUCGAAUUUUUAGUAUCACUAUCCUUGUUCCACCCCUAUUAUGUCCAUCUUGAUAGUUAUUUGGACUAUUUUACUUUCUUUGAAUAUGUUAGAACUUCUCUUGGUUUAUCUUGAUUUGCAAUAUCGAUAAAAGUAAGUAGAGUAAGUUCAUGAACGAACGAUUCAUUUGAGGAACCCUUUAUGAUCCUUUUAUGCAUAAAUUUCUUCGUGAACUAUUCAGGGAGAGGAGUAGGGUGAUUUAACAUUGACAAAAACCAAUACGUAUUUCGUUCAAGGUCAAAUCUUUAUUUCUAGGUGAAUUUGUUUAAUUUCGCAUGAUAUCAUUUGGAAUAAUAUGUUACCUUUAUGGAUGUCCAGCUUUUCUCUUGUGUUUGCUUGCCAUGAUUGUAUUAUUCUUAAUUACUAGUGAUAAUAGCUACGCUUUGCGCGGUUAGAAAUAACAUUAAUAAAUUUAUAUUAAUAAUAGAUAUUGUCGUAGAUUAUUAUAAAGAAAAUUAUUUGUUUUUACAGAAAGGAUUAAUGAGGGUCAACAAUUAAUUAGCAAUGCAAUAAUUCAAUGAGUAAUAUACAAUUAAAGCCACUGAGAGUUACAAAUGUGGAAGAUGAAGGAACUAUUUUCUAACACCCUCGUCAUCUUCAGUACUUGUUUUGCAGCAUAUCGUUGUUCCUUCAUAUCCUUGUGGACUGUUUAUUCAUCACUGGAAAGAACAAAAAACUCACCUUUAUAAACUUAGAUUCCUCCUGCUCAUUCCACCUAGGAGCAUAUAUUUUCAAGGUAGAAUAAUAGUAUAUCAACUUGCAUAGAUCUAUUAUGUAAUUCUUUUUAAUCCCGUUGUGUCGUUUGUAUGUGUUAUUAUAUAACAUGCAACUUGCUUUAUUACAGUACAGAGACUCCAAUUAACGACUUAUGUUCGUUCACUGUCAUCUCUUAAAUUUUGAAAGGCUGGGUUAUUAUUCGGUGCUAAUACUUUAUUUGUUCAGUUGAUAUUUUCCAGUUAUCUAUUAUGUUUACUUGUUGAAAGAGCCUCUCUACCUUUGAGGUAGAGGCAUGGUCUGCGUAUACUUUACCCGCCCC
rnacentral:lncRNA from 1 species